CAGUAGCCGCGGUAAUACGAAGGGUGCAAGCGUUAAUCGGAAUUACUGGGCGUAAAGCGCACGUAGGCGGAUUUUUAAGUCAGGGGUGAAAUCCCGAGGCUCAACCUCAGAACUGCCUUUGAUACUGGAGAUCUUGAGUUCGGAAGAGGUUGGUGGAACAGCUAGUGUAGAGGUGGAAUUCGUAGAUAUUAGCUAGAACACCAGUGGCGGAGGCGGCCAACUGGUCCGAUACUGACGCUGAGGUGCGAAAGCGUGGGGAGCAAACAGGAUUAGAGACCCCAGUAGUCCCUGUCUCUUAUAC
rnacentral:rRNA from 1 species